GCCCCGGUAAACGGCGGCCGUAACUAUAACGGUCCUAAGGUAGCGAAAUUCCUUGUCGGGUAAGUUCCGACCUGCACGAAUGGCGUAAUGAUGGCCAGGCUGUCUCCACCCGAGACUCAGUGAAAUUGAACUCGCUGUGAAGAUGCAGUGUACCCGCGGCAAGACGGAAAGACCCCGUGAACCUUUACUAUAGCUUGACACUGAACAUUGAGCCUUGAUGUGUAGGAUAGGUGGGAGGCUUUGAAGUGUGGACGCCAGUCUGCAUGGAGCCGACCUUGAAAUACCACCCUUUAAUGUUUGAUGUUCUAACGUGGGCCCCUAAUCGGGGUUGCGGACAGUGUCUGGUGGGUAGUUUGACUGGGGCGGUCUCCUCCUAAAGAGUAACGGAGGAGCACGAAGGUUGGCUAAUCCUGGUCGGACAUCAGGAGGUUAGUGCAAUGGCAUAAGCCAGCUUGACUGCGAGCGUGACGGCGCGAGCAGGUGCGAAAGCAGGUCAUAGUGAUCCGGUGGUUCUGAAUGGAAGGGCCAUCGCUCAACGGAUAAAAGGUACUCCGGGGAUAACAGGCUGAUACCGCCCAAGAGUUCAUAUCGACGGCGGUGUUUGGCACCUCGAUGUCGGCUCAUCACAUCCUGGGGCUGAAGUAGGUCCCAAGGGUAUGGCUGUUCGCCAUUUAAAGUGGUACGCGAGCUGGGUUUAGAACGUCGUGAGACAGUUCGGUCCCUAUCUGCCGUGGGCGCUGGAGAACUGAGGGGGGCUGCUCCUAGUACGAGAGGACCGGAGUGGACGCAUCACUGGUGUUCGGGUUGUCAUGCCAAUGGCACUGCCCGGUAGCUAAAUGCGGAAGAGAUAAGUGCUGAAAGCAUCUAAGCACGAAACUUGCCCCGAGAUGAGUUCUCCCUGAGACUUAGAGUCUCCUGAAGGAACGUUGAAGACGACGACGUUGAUAGGCCGGGUGUGUAAGCGCAGCGAUGCGUUGAGCUAACCGGUACUAAUGAACCGUGAGGCUUAACCUUACAACGCCGAAG
rnacentral:rRNA from 1 species